GACGAAGGGGGCUAGCGUUGCCCCGGAUUGACUGGGCGUAAAGGGCGCGUAGGCGGUUCGUACAGUCAGACGUGAAAGUCCUGGGCUCAACCUGGGGCUGCGUUUGAUACGUGCGGACUUGAGUGCGGAAGAGGGUCGUGGAAUUCCCAGUGUAGAGGUGAAAUUCGUAGAUAUUGGGAAGAACACCGGUGGCGAAGGCGGCGACCUGGUCCGAUACUGACGCUGAGGCGCGAAAGCGUGGG
rnacentral:rRNA from 1 species